GGUUUAAACCCUUCCUAUACUA
rnacentral:tRNA from 2 species